AUGCCAUGUGAAGACGCAGGGAGAAUGUGACAUCUGCAAGCCAAGGAGAGAGGCUUCAGGAGAAACCAGCUCUGCUGACGCUUUGAUCUCAAGCUCUGGCCACCAGAACUGUGAGCAAAUGUCUGUUGUUUAGGGCACCCUGUCCAUGGCACUUUCCGGUAGCCCCAGGAAAUGAAUCCACAGAGGAGGAAGCUGAGGCUGGGAGAGGUGGAGGGACUUGCCCAAGUCACACAAAGGAUAACUCAGCAGAGCUGAGAAUUGGCACCCAGGGCAGCUGGAGUCCACCCUGAGCUUGUCACCGCUGGGCUCUGAGACCUCCUGGUGAAGAAGGACAGUGGCAGAGACAGCCCGACCCAGAGAAACCCAGCAAUACUACUUUCUAAGGACAUUUUUCCCUCUCAUUUGGAAUCUUGAGCCUCCUGCUCGUCCUGUAGGCCACACCCAGCAAACAGAGCUGGCUAGGAACUGGGAGAAGAGCUGGAGCAACACCCUGCAUCCAUUUCCUCUUGUUGCCAUAACAACCGAUCACAAAAUGGAGUCUCACUCUGUCACCCAGGCUGGAGUGCAGUGGUGUGAUCUUGGCUCACUGCAGCCACCUCCUCUCAGGUUCAAGCGAUUCUCCUGCCUCUGCCUCCUGAGUAGCUGGGAUUACAGGUACAUGCCACCACGCUCCACUAAUUUUUGUAUUUUUAGUAGAGAUGAGGUUUCACCAUGUUGGCCAGGCUGGUCUGGAACUCCUGACCCAGCCACCUCGGCCUCCCAAAGUGCCCGGAUUACAGGUGUGAGCCACCACACCCUGCCACAAAUGUGGUUUUUAAAUGUGGUUUUUAAAAAUAUCUUGGUAGCCGUAUUUCCAAUGACUUGGUUUCCUGUGUAAUCAUAUGUAUUUGUUAUGCAUGUACAAAGAAGACAGGGCAUAAAGGUGUCACCAGAUGCCACAGCGGCCAACAGCACAGAAAAGGUCACAACCACCCACUGCAGAGAAAGGCACUGGGGACCUUGGCUAUGUGGACAAGAACCAGGAGCCUUGGGCUUCCCAGGCAAAGCUGGGAAGCCUGCAGGGAAGCCUGCAGGGACCUGACAGGUGGACGUCCUGGUGCCCAAGGCAGGGCUGGGUGGGGGAGAGAGUGGUACCCUCAGACUGUCUGAGGUCUGUCUCCCUAGAGGACAGUAGUACCACAGGUUGGAAGUCAGGUCUUUCCAGAGUCCCUGUGACCUCCUCUUUCUGCACGAAACCCAGCUGAGUAGGAAACUGUCCCCAGGAAGAAGCAGCCACUGCCCAAGGGAGAGAGCUAGAGACACGCUGGGCAGGCUACAUCCCUGGGCUUCUCUGGGACCCGACAAGAGCCUGUCCAUCCCUUCACCUCCACUAAGAUCAGGGCACCCCAGGAGUCUUGGCAGGGCCACACCAGCCUCUGCUCUGCCCUGGAAACAUCCUCGUUUCACACUGACUCAGUUUCAGUUUUGGAAGGAGGUCAGAAGUUGCCUCCAUGUCCCUUCUCUCCACUGGUUCUCUGGAACCCUCCAUCAUAGAUGUCUCUGCCCUUCCUUCCCCUGUCAGGAGCAAAACUCCCUCCCCUCCAGGAGCUGGCCUCUCUAAGUCCUCUUGCAUCAGGCCAGGCUCAGCCCUGGAGGCCACAGCUCAGGCCCUGGGCCAGCCGAAGGGGCAGGGUGAGGAACCUACAUUGUUCUGUGCCCAGCCCCUUUAAGAGGCCCAUACAGACAAGAGCAAAUUCAGUAGGUUGAGUCAUCCACUCUGUAGUGAUUAAGCAGGGAUGGUGGAGAAGGAGAGAGUGUCAGCUCUGGAACCAGGUGGCCCUAAUUGAAAUCCUAGCUCUGCUAUUUACCAGCGGGGUGGCUUUGGGUAGGUGAUUUGACCAAUACCACUCCUCUGUUUCCCCACCUUGAGUGUUAUUGCAAGGAUUAAAUGAAUUACUACAAAGUAAAGUAGUAAAUAUAUAUCAGCUAUUAUUAUUACUACUACUAUUAUUAUUAUGAACCAGGAGGUGGGGACUGUGACAUAGGCUGCUGGGUCUCUUCUUUCCUCUUUCAUAAGAAUAGCCUACCCCAUCCUCAGCUGGGCAUAUGGUCACCUAACCUAAAACUACAUUUCCCAGCAUCCCUUGCUGCUAGAUGUAGCCAUGUGAUCAGGUUCUGGCCAAUAAGAUGCCAGGAGAAGUGGUUUGGCCCACAUCCUGGGAGUUUUCUUUAAAGGACAGGGGCAAUGCCUUCUUCCCUUUUUCUCCUUUCUGCUGACCAGAACCUGAGCAUGGCGUCUGGAGCAGUAGCAGCUGUUGUGCACUGUGAGUUUGAAGCCGUGUGUUGAGAAUAGCAGAGCAACAAAGCAAUAGGAACUGGAGCCCCCAGGGGCCAUGAAGCCCCUACCAGCCCUGGACUGCUUAGAUUUACUUGAGCGAGAAAUAAACCCUUGAUUGUUUAAACC